GGAGGAGGGCGGAGAUAGGUGGUGGAGCGGGCUGGCGCGGGAGGCAGGAAAGGUGGGGUCCAUGGCGCUGCCCAUGGCCGCGAUGAGCGUGGCGCAGAACGCCGUGCAGGUGGCGUCCAACAUGAUGGUGGGGCACCUCCCCGGCGUCCUCCCGCUCUCCGCCUCCGCCAUCGCCACCUCCCUCGCCAGCGUCUCCGGCUUCAGCCUCCUCGUACGUCGUCAUCGCAUAUCCUGAUUUCCCCACUCGUUCACGCGUCCUCGAUUUGCUUAUAUCCAUAUUUGUUGCCUGCGUGAUUUGGUCUCAUUGGAUUAACUGUUUAGCACUUUAGCCAGAGAGGCACGUUUCACGGUUUCAGAUAUUGUUCAAUGUGGCGUUCAAAUUUAGCAGUAGGAGGACAGGCAAAAAGUUUAGCCGUACAAGCGGCUGGUUAGUUUGGAAGGGGGAUUUUGAUUGGAACAGUGCCUAAAAUUUUUGCUGGAAUACUGUUUGAACAUUUGGCGUGUUCCAAACAUUCUGAAAUAAAUCAUGGAUAUAGCAUAGUAAGUAGCAGAUUUUUUUUUUUUGGGUAUACAAGUAGCAGUUUGCAAACCUACAAAAUUUAAAAUCAACGUUCUCCUAAAUAUAGAGAUAAAUAACAAGUUACACUACUAGUCUACUACUCCACGCUGAAUGCUUUUCUAGGAUGAAUUUUAAAUUGCCUGCACAGAUGGUGAGCUAGUCAAUUGUCACGAUUUCAACUAGCUUUCAGAAUCUGCGAAGUGUGUACAGCCUAGAGGACUACUUCGAUACUCUGGCGAAAUAUUCUGUAGGAUUUUUUUUUUUUACUUUUCUCUUCAGUUGUACACGGAUUGCCUUUUUAGUUUGUGAUCUUAAUUUUGAAACCACCCAUAAUUUGAAUUUUGAACUUGUAAAACAGGUUGGAAUGGCAAGUGGAUUAGAAACUCUCUGCGGUCAAGCUUAUGGGGCAAAACAGUAUGACAAGUUAGGAGUGCAAACCUACAGAGCAAUAGUCACACUAACAGUAGUCACAAUUCCCAUCUCACUUCUAUGGGUAUUCAUAGGCAAACUCUUGACCCUAAUAGGUCAGGACCCCGUGAUCUCACAUGAAGCUGGAAGAUACAUAGUGUGGUUGAUUCCAGGACUCUUCGCAUACGCGGUCUGCCAGCCUCUCACAAAAUUUCUGCAGUCUCAGAGUCUAAUAUUUCCCAUGCUCUGGUCCUCCAUUGCAACUCUGCUCCUGCACAUCCCUCUGUCUUGGCUGUUGGUGUUCAAGACCAGCAUGGGAUUUACUGGAGCUGCUUUAGCAAUUAGCAUAUCUUACUGGUUGAAUACAUUCAUGCUCGCUGCAUACAUCAGAUUCUCAUGUUCUUGUAAGGUGACUCGCUCGCCUCCUACAAUCGAGGCAUUCAGAGGAGUCGGUUUGUUUCUGCGAAUAGCACUACCAUCUGCACUAAUGUUAUGGUAAUUACAGUAGCUUCAGAAUCUCCUUGUUUUAUAUGUAAGUAUUUCUUAUUUCCUGUUAAAAAAUUCCCACUUAUUGGAUUAAUGGAUUUUCUUCUAUUAUUUUGUAGUUUUGAAUGGUGGUCAUUUGAGAUCCUUGUUCUCCUGUCAGGACUUCUACCC
rnacentral:lncRNA from 1 species